rnacentral:RNase_P_RNA from 2 species
UCAGUUAUAAUCUAGCACCUGGGGCUUACAUACGAGUAUCUGAUUGCUCUUGGCACUGCCUCGGGAAGGUCUGAGAUUUGGUCAAAUUUCUUCAUUGAACUUUAAAAUUUGAUGGAGUAAAUUCCAUUUUCCAGCAGGAAACUUGUGUAAUUGAAAGGCGAAAGUACCAGAAAUGCUGUAAUUUUCUUGUAAAAAUACAUUGAAAUCUUUUGUGACCAGCAAUUUUAGUGCAAUGUGCUUGCUGUUCCCAAACAUAAAUGGGAAUAGAACUCAAUUCAGACUAAUCUGUGACUGA